rnacentral:lncRNA from 1 species
CCGAUUGCGCCACAGAGACAGGCGAGGCUUGGCGCCUCUGCCAAGUCAGUUCACCGCAGAAAACGUUCGUGCUGCUUUCCCGGAGCCCCCAAAUCCGGGCUGGGGCUGGAGGGGGGCCCGGCAGGGCGGUCCCCGGGAGAGGAGGGCCUCCCCGCCGCCGAGCGCUGGCACCUGCGAGCACUCCCCACCGCCCCCGGGCUGGCCCCUGCUGGGACCCCCCCCCCACCCCGGGACCUCUCGGGCCCCCCCUUCCCCUGGGCUCACCUGCUGGGAUCCCCUACUCUGGCACCUCUCAGCCCUCCCUCCUCCCCGGGGGCCACCUGCUGGGAUUCCCCCCCCCCGGGACCUCUCGGCCCCCCCCUUCCCCUAGGCGGCACCUGCUGGGACCCCCCCUCUGGCACCUCUUGGCACCCCGUCCUCCCCCGGGGGACACCUGCUCGGACCGGCCGGGCCUCAGCGUCUACCCAGCCUGGGCAGAGCGGCCCGAGCAGCGGGGGUCUCCGGGGGAGCCAAUACCGAGGCUCUCGGGGGGGGGGCUCGCGAGUUCACUUGGUUUUGCUCCGGGAAGUAGAACAAACCUUUUUUUUUUUUUUUUUUUUUUUUUCUGAUCUAGACGAUCAGGGGUCAGCUGAAGCAAUGGAACCUCACGGACCAAGACUAAUCUCCAAGCCCAGCUGUUGGGAACGUGUAUUAGGCCCGCGGCCAGGACGCAGAGUCUAUAAACGCCCGAGACUUAGAGACGUUCACACUGCAGUAUCCGGAUCCUCUGGGCGCGGAGACCUCGCAUCCAGAGCCGGCAGCCCAGGGAUCCCGGUCAGGGGCUCAGGGCCCGGCCGGCCUCCUCCCCUGCCUGGGGGGAAGCUCCUCUGGGCUCCCUGCGGCCCCCGAGCCCCCCGCCUCCGCCGCAGGCACACCCAUCCCCUGCACCACGGCCCUCUGCGGCGAGGCACCCACAGUGUGUGGCCGGGCGUGGCACCCUCCUCAGCCUCCACCCAGAACCUCCUCUUCCUUCUACACCACCGCGCUCCACCCCGUGGGUUCCAGUUUAGGGGCAGGUCAAAGUUUCCAGUGAUGUUGGGUGAACUGAGAGGACACACGGUAGAUAGAGGUGUGUGCGCACAGAUUAUGUGUGUGUGUGUAUCUCACAAGCUUGCCCAAUGA